CAGAACAGCACAUUGUACGCACCUGUCCUAAACUUCAGUAGUUUUUCUUUUUAAAAAAAAUUCUCAUUGUAUUUUCUAUAUGUGCCCUUAGUCUAGGACUGAGAAGUCUCCGUCCUAACCGGUUUGGCUUCCUUAUCUCUUUCUCACACGUCCCUUCGGCAAGCUACUCCUUAUCUUCCAAAUCCAGCUAACCUUUAACAAGCCUCCCUGGAAUGUAAACUCAGAACCCACCGUUACCUGGAGGUUUGUUAGCCGGACUAUACACCGCACAGAGAUUCAAAGCUGCCGCCUUCUCCUUCACGGUGGCCAUAGCGCCCGCCGGUUUCUGCCACCGCGUCUCCGAACGCGAUCGAGAGUUCACGGGCUUCUUGCUGAGAGAAAUAGGCGGUGCCUACAGGCGGAGGCUAUGCUUAUUGGUUCACAUUCGUAGUGGGGGCGGUGCCUACUCUGUAUUUAACAUUCCAAACGGAGGGGCGGGGUUUUCGGAAAGUAGAGUAUGAGGCGAACUACAAAACUAGCUGUUGAAACCGGUCCUCUGAAACUACAUCUCACGGUUUUUGCUGUUAUAGUGAAGUGACUCCAGCACCUCUGGCUGUGUCAACUGGACAUCUUUCAGUAAAUCUUUUACCACCUUUUAUCUUGGUGUGCUCCCAACACUCCUGCUCAUUCCCGCUAUCUCCUGGCUUGAUCACCCAGGAGUGGCUUUCGGUUCAUUGGAAACCUAGACGUCCCUGGAAGCUUAUCAGAGGCACCUCCAUGAAAAAAAAAGUCAGUGGACCAUUGUUCCUGGAAUACACCUGGCCAGCCUCCUAAAGCUGCAGAGCUUUCCCUGCAAUACACAGCCACAAAAGAUGUUGGGUGUGUUCAAAGAUGCACCCACUGGAUAUGGGGCAACAGCUAGGCCUAAUAGGCCUCACUAAUGUUCUACAUAAAAUAUGUACCCUAGAACAGACCCCUUUUGCAAUGUAUAGUCAUUCCUUGAAACACAUGGGAGGCCAAACAACUUAAAAGGGUUCUCUGAACACAGGAAGUUUGAACGUCAUCUGUCUAGCAAGACAGAAGUGUAUUUUAUGUUCUACUUCCAUAAUCCCAAGAAAGCUUCUUAUGCAUUGUUCACUUGACAAAGUUGCCAUCUACUCGUCCUAAGAAUAAAAAGGUGAAUACCUAAUCCUGCAAAGUUACUCAGAAGUAAGUCCCAUUGAUUUCAAUGAGACUUAUUCCUAGGUAAGUGCAUACAGGAUUGCACCCUCAGUAAA